UACGGCCACGUCAUGUUGAAACACCGGUUCCCGUACAGUCACCGAAGUUAAGCAACAUCGAUCCUGGUCAGUACCUAGAUGGGUGACCGUUUGGGAUUAGUAAGUGCUGUAA